GUGUUGACUGAGAGGACACCCAGGCUUGGCAGCUGCUGCUUCUGAUGGAGACGCCUCAGCAAACAAUGCUCCCAAGGACUUUGGGGUUCCCCAUCCCACCUGGCCUGAGAGCAGCAUCCUCCUCCAGGAAGUUGGCAUAAUCUGCCUGACAGGUGGCCCAGGGUGUGGUCUGAAGGACCAAGAAACUCCACUAUAUAAUGCAGCCCUCAAGCUGGCCCCACAG
rnacentral:lncRNA from 1 species